UGUGCCGCACGAGCGCACCCUUAUCCUUUGUUGCCAGCACGUAAUGGUGGGAACUCAAAGGAGACUGCCGGUGAUAAACCGGAGGAAGGUGGGGAUGACGUCAAGUCAUCAUGGCCCUUACGAGUAGGGCUACACACGUGCUACAAUGGCAGAUACAAAGAGAAGCGACCUCGCGAGAGCAAGCGGAACUCAUAAAGUCUGUCGUAGUCCGGAUUGGAGUCUGCAACUCGACUCCAUGAAGUCGGAAUCGCUAGUAAUCGUAGAUCAAAAUGCUACGGUGAAUACGUUCCCGGGCCUUGUACACACCGCCCGU
rnacentral:rRNA from 1 species